UACAAAGGGUGCAAGCGUUAAUCGGAAUUACUGGGCGUAAAGGGUGCGUAGGCGGUUCGUUAAGUCUGUCGUGAAAUCCCCGGGCUCAACCUGGGAAUGGCGAUGAAUACUGGCGAGCUAGAGUGUGUCAGAGGAUGGUGGAAUUCCCGGUGUAGCGGUGAAAUGCGUAGAGAUCGGGAGGAACAUCAGUGGCGAAGGCGGCCAUCUGGGACAACACUGACGCUGAAGCACGAAAGCGUGGGGAGCAAACAGG
rnacentral:rRNA from 1 species